GGUUGGCACCAUAGGGUGUCGCUGUGUCGGUGGGGGCUGUUCCUCUAUAAAAGGGGAAGUGGCACUGUAGUAGGGAGUGCCAGUUUCCUGUUGGAGUUGCCAGGACGUUGCUGGGCCACGUCAGCCUUGGUGCAAGGUGAUUUUAGCAGCAUCAGGGCUGGGAUCUGAGGGAUGUUGAUCCUGGGAAAAGUGUUGACUGAGUAAGGGAAUUCAACGCUGCAGUACGUGGUCCUGCGAAGGAGCCUGGAAAGAGUUGCACUUCCUUCAAGAUGAAACCAGCAUCUCCAAGUAUCUAAGUGAGGAGGGGUGUACUUGGCCGUUUAACUCACCCCACUCCUCACAUAUGGAAGGGGUGUGGGAAAAAACAAUUGGAUUUCAAGACGGAUUCUCGACUCUAUUCUUUCACAGAUCAGCCACUAUAAUAAAUUUAAGACCCCUCACACCUGUGUCAAGUCAUGCUCCUUUCCCUCUGACUCCAGCAAUGAUACAGACACAGAAGAUCUGUACAGCUCUUCCUCCAUCAGGAUCUUUUAAACACACUGACCUGCAUCAACAACAAUGGAAAUGUGUCCAACAAUCGGCAAAUG